GACGAACGCUGGCGGCGUGCCUAAUACAUGCAAGUAGAACGCACAGUUUAUACCGUAGCUUGCUACACCAUAGACUGUGAGUUGCGAACGGGUGAGUAACGCGUAGGUAACCUGCCUGGUAGCGGGGGAUAACUAUUGGAAACGAUAGCUAAUACCGCAUAAUAUUAAUUAUUGCAUGAUAAUUAAUUGAAAGGUGCAAUUGCACCACUACCAGAUGGACCUGCGUUGUAUUAGCUAGUAGGUGAGGUAACGGCUCACCUAGGCGACGAUACAUAGCCGACCGGAGAGGCGGAGCGGCCACACUGGGACGGGGACACGGCCCAGACGCCUACGGGAGGCAGCAGGAGGGAAUCGUCGGCAAUGGACGAAAGUCUGACCGAGCAACGACGCGUGAGUGAAGAAGGUAGCCGGAUCGUAAAGGUCUGUUGUAAGAGAAGAACGGGUGUGAGAGUGGAAAGUUCACAAUGUGACGGUAUCUUACCAGAAAGCGACGGCUAACUACGUG
rnacentral:rRNA from 1 species